AUGAACGCUGGCGGCGUGCCUCACACAUGCAAGUCGAACGAAGCACCUUACCUGAUUCUUCGGAUGAAAGUUUGGUGACUGAGUGGCGGACGGGUGAGUAACGCGUGGGUAACCUGCCCUGUACAGGGGGAUAACAGCUGGAAACGGCUGCUAAUACCGCAUAAGCGCACGAGGAGACAUCUCCUUGUGUGAAAAACUCCGGUGGUACAGGAUGGGCCCGCGUCUGAUUAGCUGGUUGGCAGGGUAACGGCCUACCAAGGCAACGAUCAGUAGCCGGUCUGAGAGGAUGAACGGCCACAUUGGAACUGAGACACGGUCCAAACUCCUACGGGAGGCAGCAGUGGGGAAUAUUGCACAAUGGGGGAAACCCUGAUGCAGCAACGCCGCGUGAGUGAAGAAGUAUUUCGGUAUGUAAAGCUCUAUCAGCAGGGAAGAUAAUGACGGUACCUGACUAAGAAGCUCCGGCUAAAUACGUG
rnacentral:rRNA from 1 species